rnacentral:misc_RNA from 1 species
GAGAGAGAGAGAGAGAGAGAAAUGUGUGAUAGUGCUGUAAUUAUGUAGCAAUAUAAACCUUAAUGACAAGGUCAACUGUUAACACUAGCUCUCUCUAUAUCUCCCUGACUCCCUGUACCGUGUAAUUAAUGCGCAGCGAAGAGCAGCAGACGGCUCUUUCUUUCUAUUUCGCUCUCGCUUUUCUUCCAGCAUCAUUUUCAUCUAUUAAUUAGCCUCAAUUUUAAGCAAAAAAUACCUCCCCAACUAAUACCCAACAGCAAAAAAAUAAAUAUUAAAUUGAAAAAACAGAGACAUACCUUACACGUAGUACGAAAUUUUCCCGUUAGCCAAACAGCAAUACUCUCAAGAGAAAAUAAAUGUUAACAAAAAAUAAAAAAUAAAAAAGGGAAGGUUCUGGGCCAGCAUCGAUCCCGAGCAAAGCUCCAGCUUUUUCUUACUUUUGACUCAUCCCCAUUCAUCUUCUGAUAAAUACUAUACUAUUUAAAAAGAGAAAAAAAAAUACGAAAGCAUUGAACUGACAACUAUGUCCUGGGAGGUAGAAACCGAAAAAGAACUUGAAAGAAGAAAGAGAGAGAGAAAAUGAAAGUGGGGUUUUGUUUUUUCUGUUUGGUUUUGUUGUUGCCGGAGAAAGCGACGCCAGGGAGAUCGUGCAGAGGGAAAAAUGUUGUACUUGUACCUGCGAGCCCAAAGUGAACAAACUGCGCCGGUUAAGAUAAUGUUAUGCGCGUCGCUGAUGGUGCUUUGUGUCAGGUCGUUGAGUACUUGAUUUGAGCUGGCCGCCUCUAUUUUUUAAUUAUUAAAAAAAAAAAGAAAUAACAGUAUGAGGACCAUACCAGAGACCAAAGGAUGCGAGUUUCAUCCAUGCCGCUCAAUGCUGCCCAUCAUUUUCAAUUCAACAAAGGAACCAGCCUGUGAUUUUAU